GUGCCAGCCGCCGCGGUAAUACGGAGGAUGCAAGCGUUAUCCGGAAUGAUUGGGCGUAAAGCGUCCGCAGGUGGCGAUGUAAGUCUGCUGUUAAAGAGUGAGGCUCAACCUCAUAAGAGCAGUGGAAACUACAUAGCUAGAGUACGUUCGGGGCAGAGGGAAUUCCUGGUGUAGCGGUGAAAUGCGUAGAGAUCAGGAAGAACACCAGUGGCGAAGGCGCUCUGCUAGGCCGUAACUGACACUGAGGGACGAAAGCUAGGGGAGCGAAUGGGAUUAGAUACCCCAGUAGUCCUAGCCGUAAACGAUGGAUACUAGGCGUGGCUUGUAUCGACCCGAGCCGUGCCGUAGCUAACGCGUUAAGUAUCCCGCCUGGGGAGUACGCCGGCAACGGUGAAACUCAAAGGAAUCGACGGGGGCCCGCACAAGCGGUGGAGUAUGUGGUUUAAUUCGAUGCAACGCGAAGAACCUUACCAAGGCUUGACAUGUCGCGAAUCUUCUUGAAAGGGAAGAGUGCCUUCGGGAGCGCGAACACAGGUGGUGCAUGGCUGUCGUCAGCUCGUGUCGUGAGAUGUUGGGUUAAGUCCCGCAACGAGCGCAACCCUCGUUUUUAGUUGCCAGCAUUAAGUUGGGCACUCUAGAGAGACUGCCGGUGACAAACCGGAGGAAGGUGGGGAUGACGUCAAGUCAGCAUGCCCCUUACGCCUUGGGCUACACACGUACUACAAUGCUCCGGACAGAGGGCAGCAAGCAUGCGAAUGCAAGCAAAUCCCGUAAACCGGAGCUCAGUUCAGAUCGCAGGCUGCAACUCGCCUGCGUGAAGGAGGAAUCGCUAGUAAUUGCAGGUCAGCAUACUGCAGUGAAUUCGUUCCCGGGCCUUGUACACACCGCCCGUCACACCAUGGAAGCUGGUAGUGCCCGAAGUCAUUACUCCAACCUUUCGGGGGGGAGGAUGCCUAAGGCAGGACUGGUGACUGGGGUGAAGUCGUAACAAGGUAACC
rnacentral:rRNA from 1 species